rnacentral:tRNA from 1 species
CUGUAGUUCAGCGGUAGAGCGCCAGAUUGUGGAUCUGGUUGUCGUGGGUUCGAUCCCCACUAG